CCCGGAAGGCGGUGGGGGCGGGGAGCGAAGCUGACAACCUGUCAAGUCCACUCCAGGACGAACUAGGUCACGCGCCUCUUGUAGCUCCGGCGCCCCCGCCCCGCGAGGCCCUGCGGGUGGCCCUGGGGCCCAGCCGCUCCGCUUCCUCUUCCUGCCCGCGGUGGUGGGGGCGGGGCGGACACCUGCCGUCCGCAGGCCCGCUUCAACCUCUGGGCUGCUGGAGGCCGCCUAGCUCGCGGGCCCGCGCGCGCCUAUCCGCUGGGAGACGGAUUCGCGGUCUCCGACGCCGGCCGUGGGCUCGCGGAAGCGCACAGCGCACUACUUGACGCGGAAGGAUCCGGGCUUCCGCGGUUACCUGUCCUCCACUCGAAUCCGACCUCGGCCGAAGGGCCCGCGACGACGAUCGUCCGCCCCACGGAGAAGAGAUACUGGUUCAGUCCCGCGCUGCCGACCUCACAAUGGCGCGGACACGCAGGCACAGUCACGCAGCGGCCCUUGCGCUUCUUCGCCCAUAGCUUAUCGGCCGAGGGGACCGCGGCGGGACCCUCCUUCCCACUCGCCUACUCAGAUGAUGAGAACGUCCCCACACGACACCAUGACGCUGUUUUAACAAUGCCUAACUCUGUUCUUCCAAACUGCCCACACUUAAAGGGUCCCAUUAUAUAGCCCCACUGGCCUCAACCACAGCAACCUUCCUGCCUAUGCCUCCCUAAUUGCUGGGACUAAAGGAAUUCCACAGACGGGACUAUCAGCUUCUGCUUACAGUAAAAACACUUCAUUGAGCAAAUCUGGUGACCUGGGGUGUGACCUUAUCAGCAGUGACCCACCCUGUGAUCUCAUUCAAGGUCCUUAGCAACCCUUUGAGCUGUUCAGAAACCACCCAAAUCCAGGGCUCUACCCACUGAGAAGCCUACAGCCACACCUGGGUGUAACCCCGCCCAGGCACCUUGCUUUCUAACCCCUCCAGGGUAAACUUGGAUUGAACUCUCCUCUUAGUAAACUCACCCCCCUCUCUGCUUCCCUCUGAAGCUAAGACUAGUCCUGAAUCUUUUCUGUAGUGAAGGCCAGAGGCGAGCACUAAUACUCAAGGUAAAAUGCUGCAGAUCCCCGAGAGGCUGCGUGGGCAGCAGGCGAGUGGCAAGCGGGCAGCGGGUUCUGAGAUCAGCCGGUCCCAGGCAGGGAUGGCAUAGCUCUCUGAGUGGCUACAGCAGGGAGCCGCGUGGUGGGUGAGAGACCUCAAUGGGGAAGCUAGUUCCACGAGGAGAGACAGACAGCGGGGCAUGCCACGAGACGCUGCCGCAGGUUCUCCGAAGGAGGCUGGUCCCGGGCAGGGAGCCCGGCUGGUGAGAGACAGAGACAUGGAUAGGCAUGCCAUGUGAGGUUGGAUAUUUAUUUAGUGAGUUAUG